GCAAGGAAUUUUGCGCAAUGGGCGAAAGCCUGACGCAGCAACACCGCGUGGGGGAUGAAGGCCUUCGGGUCGUAAACCCCUUUUGCAGGGGAAGCAACUGACGGUACCCUGCGAAUAAGCCACGGCUAACUACGUGCCAGCAGCCGCGGUAAUACGUAGGUGGCAAGCGUUGUCCGGAUUUACUGGGCGUAAAGGGCGCGCAGGCGGCCCGUCAAGUCUGGGGUGAAAGCUCCCGGCUCAACCGGGAGAGGUCUUCAGAUACUGAUGGGCUUGAGGAGAGCAGAGGAGAGCGGAAUUCCCGGUGUAGCGGUGAUAUGCGUAGAUAUCGGGAGGAACACCAGUGGCGAAGGCGGCUCUCUAGGCUUUUCCUGACGCUGAGGCGCGAAAGCGUGGGGAGCAAACCGG
rnacentral:rRNA from 1 species